UACAGAGGGUGCAAGCGUUGUUCGGAAUCAUUGGGCGUAAAGAGCUCGUAGGCGGUGUGUCGCGUCGGCCGUGAAAACCUGUGGCUUAACUAUGGGCUUGCGGUCGAUACGGGCAUCACUGGAGUUCGGCAGGGGAGACUGGAAUUCCUGGUGUAGCGGUGAAAUGCGCAGAUAUCAGGAGGAACACCGGUGGCGAAGGCGGGUCUCUGGGCCGAUACUGACGCUGAGGAGCGAAAGCGUGGGGAGCGAACAGG
rnacentral:rRNA from 1 species